rnacentral:rRNA from 1 species
GAUGAACGCUGGCGGCGUGCCUAAUACAUGCAAGUCGAGCGAACGGACGAGAAGCUUGCUUCUCUGAUGUUAGCGGCGGACGGGUGAGUAACACGUGGAUAACCUACCUAUAAGACUGGGAUAACUUCGGGAAACCGGAGCUAAUACCGGAUAAUAUUUUGAACCGCAUGGUUCAAAAGUGAAAGACGGUCUUGCUGUCACUUAUAGAUGGAUCCGCGCUGCAUUAGCUAGUUGGUAAGGUAACGGCUUACCAAGGCAACGAUGCAUAGCCGACCUGAGAGGGGGGGCGGCCAGCGUGGAACUGGGCCACGGCCCGCACCCCUACGGGAGGCGGAGGGAGGGAUUUUUCGGCAGGGGGAGAAUGCCGAACGGAGCACCGCCGGGGGAGUAAUAAGGUUCUUGGGUUCGAAAAACUUUUUAAUUGGGAAAAAACAUAUGGUUAAGAACCUGUCCACUCCUUGACGGUACCUAAUAAGAAGGCCACGCCAAACCCCGUG